rnacentral:rRNA from 1 species
ACGGGUGCGGAACACGUACGCAACCUUCCUUCAAAUGGGGAAUAGCCUUUCGAAAGAGAGAUUAAUACCCCGUAACAUUUUCUGGUGGCAUCACUGGAUUAUUAUAGCUCCGGCGUUUGAAGAUGGGCGUGCGCCUGAUUAGGUAGUUGGCGGAGUAACAGCCCACCAAGCCUACGAUCAGUAACUGGUGUGAGAGCACGACCAGUCACACGGGCACUGAGACACGGGCCCGACUCCUACGGGAGGCAGCAGUAAGGAAUAUUGGUCAAUGGACGCAAGUCUGAACCAGCCAUGCCGCGUGGAGGAUGAAGGUCCUCUGGAUUGUAAACUUCUUUUAUCGGAGAAGAAACCCUAGCAUUCUUGCUGGGUUGACGGUACCCGAUGAAUAAGCACCGGCUAACUCCGUGCCAGCAGCCGCGGUAAUACGGAGGGUGCAAGCGUUAUCCGGAUUCACUGGGUUUAAAGGGAGCGUAGGUGGGGUGGUAAGUCAGUGGUGAAAUCUCCGGGCUUAACUCGGAAACUGCCGUUGAUACUAUCAUUCUUGAAUAUUGUGGAGGUAAGCGGAAUAUGUCAUGUAGCGG